rnacentral:tRNA from 1 species
GCCGAGAUGGCGGAAUAGGCAGACGCGCAUGGUUCAGGACCAUGUGGGAGAAAUCUCAUGGGGGUUCAAGUCCCCCUCUCGGCA